rnacentral:piRNA from 1 species
UGGACACUUCUUACUGAAGGAACCCACCCA